AUUGAACGCUGGCGGCAGGCCUAACACAUGCAAGUCGAGCGAGCGGCGGACGGGUGAGUAAUGUCUGGGGAUCUGCCCGAUAGAGGGGGAUAACUACUGGAAACGGUGGCUAAUACCGCAUACUAUCGGAUGUACCCAUAUGGGAUUAGCUAGUAGGUUGGGUAACGGCUCACCUAGGCGACGAUCCCUAGCUGGUCUGAGAGGAUGACCAGCCACACUGGAACUGAGACACGGCCCAGAAUCCUACGGGAGGCAGCAGUGGGGAAUAUUGCACAAUGGGCGCAAGCCUGAUGCAGCCAUGCCGCGUGUAUGAAGAAGGCCUUAGGGUUGUAAAGUACUUUCAGCGAGGAGGCGUUACCCGCAGAAGAAGCACCGGCUAACUCCGUGCCAGCAGCCGCGGUAAUAC
rnacentral:rRNA from 1 species